rnacentral:rRNA from 1 species
GACGAACGCUGGCGGCGUGCUUAACACAUGCAAGUCGAACGGAAAGGCCCUGCUUUUGUGGGGUGCUCGAGUGGCGAACGGGUGAGUAACACGUGAGUAACCUGCCCUUGACUUUGGGAUAACUUCAGGAAACUGGGGCUAAUAUCGGAUAGGAGCUCCUGCUGCAUGGUGGGGGUUGGAAAGUUUCGGCGGUUGGGGAGGGUCUCGCGGGGUAUCAGCUUGUUGGUGGGGUAGUGGCUUACCCAGGCUUUGACGGGUAGCCGGCCUGAGAGGGGGACCGGCCACAUUGGGACUGAGGUACGGCCCAGACUCCUACGGGAGGCAGCAGUGGGGAAUAUUGCACAAUGGGCGGAAGCCUGAUGCAGCAACGCCGCGUGCGGGAUGACGGCCUUCGGGUUGUAAACCGCUUUCGCCUGUGACGAAGCGUGAGUGACGGUAAUGGGUAAAGAAGCACCGGCUAACUACGUG